CCUACGGGUGGCAGCAGUGAGGAAUAUUGGUCAAUGGGCUUACGCCUGAACCAGCCAAGUCGCGUGAGGGAAGACUGCCCUAUGGGUUGUAAACCUCUUUUGUCAGGGAGCAACGCCGGCUACGUGUAGCCGGACUGAGAGUACCUGAAGAAAAAGCAUCCGCUAACUCCGUGCCAGCAGCCGCGGUAAUACGGAGGAUGCGAGUGUUAUCCGGAUGUAUUGGGUUAAAGGGGUGCGUAGGCGGAAUGCCAAGUCAGCGGUAAAACCGCGGGGCUCAACCUCGCUCCGCCGUUGAAACUGGCGUUCUUGAGUGGGCGAGAGGUAUGCGGAAUGCGUGGUGUAGCGGUGAAAUGCAUAGAGAUCACGCAGAACUCCGAUUGCGAAGGCAGCAUACCGGCGCCCAACUGACGCUGAAGCACGAAAGCGUGGGUAUCGAACAGGAUUAGAUACCCUGGUAGUC
rnacentral:rRNA from 1 species